rnacentral:rRNA from 1 species
UGAAGAGUUUGAUCCUGGCUCAGAUUGAACGCUGGCGGCAUGCCUUACACAUGCAAGUCGAACGGCAGCACGGGGGCAACCCUGGUGGCGAGUGGCGAACGGGUGAGUAAUACAUCGGAACGUGUCCUGUAGUGGGGGAUAGCCCGGCGAAAGCCGGAUUAAUACCGCAUACGCUCUACGGAGGAAAGGGGGGGAUCUUAGGACCUCUCGCUACAGGGGCGGCCGAUGGCAGAUUAGCUAGUUGGUGGGGUAAAGGCCUACCAAGGCGACGAUCUGUAGCUGGUCUGAGAGGACGACCAGCCACACUGGGACUGAGACACGGCCCAGACUCCUACGGGAGGCAGCAGUGGGGAAUUUUGGACAAUGGGGGCAACCCUGAUCCAGCAAUGCCGCGUGUGUGAAGAAGGCCUUCGGGUUGUAAAGCACUUUUGUCCGGAAAGAAAACCGCCGCCCUAAUAUGGUGGUGGGAUGACGGUACCGGAAGAAUAAGCACCGGCUAACUACGUGCCAGCAGCCGCGGUAAUACGUAGGGUGCAAGCGUUAAUCGGAAUUACUGGGCGUAAAGCGUGCGCAGGCGGUUUGCUAAGACAGAUGUGAAAUCCCCGGGCUUAACCUGGGAACUGCAUUUGUGACUG